rnacentral:lncRNA from 1 species
AAAGGCUUAUUGAUAACAGGUAUUUGAUUCCAUCAUAAUGCUUUACUAAACCCGUUUUGCCAUGCUUUUUCGGAUUUGGCUAAAAAAUUAGCAUUGUGGCUGCGGAGCAAGUGGAUUUUCUGCUUAGGCAACAAAUAUAGACAAUCUUUGCAAUAUGUAUGAAGAUUGGAGUCCUUGAAUUUGAGCUUGAGGAAACUAUUAGCAGACAUCUGGAUGGAAGUUUCUGCGCCAAGUACAGAGAAGGUUCUUCGUGCUCUCUUCUUCUCACUUUUCGAACUAGCCCCAGAAAUGAAGGGUUCUAAAUUGACAAUUUAUGGAAAGCUCCUCUAAUAUUGAGUAAUUUUCUAUGCCGUGUUUUGGGCUCUGCACAUCUGUGGCUUCUUGCCAGGGCGAAAUAUAUUGGGCAUAACAAUGUUUCGAGU